UACAGAGGUCUCAAGCGUUGUUCGGAAUCACUGGGCGUAAAGGGCGCGUAGGCGGGGAGGUAAGUCGGGUGUGAAAAUCCCUCGGCUUAACCGGGGAACUGCGUCUGAUACUGGCGAGCUUGAGUGCAGGAGAGGAACGCGGAAUUCCAGGUGUAGCGGUGAAAUGCGUAGAUAUCUGGAGGAACACCGGUGGCGAAGGCGGCGUUCUGGACUGCAACUGACACUGAUGAACGAAAGCCAGGGGAGCAAACGGG
rnacentral:rRNA from 1 species